CAUUGCACAUAAAAUAGUUGUUUUCUUCUCUUAGGACUAGAUAUAGUGGCUAUGUUUAUGCAAUAGAUUGAAAUUGCCAUGCUGUGAAGAGAGAGGGCAUUUCAGCUUUCUCUCUCUCUUUAUAAAAUGGCUGGACCUACCAUC